UUAGGGCCAUUCGAAGAUGCCUUCGGCAGACAGCGGAGGCUGGGGAUUUAGAUGCCCUUUCGGCUUUCCCCAUUAUAGUCAAGGGUCAAAGAAACUGAAAAAAUCCAGCAUUCAGAACCUUGGAAAUAUUUAGGCUAUAUCCUUUUUAAUAGGACAAUUCAGCCCCAAGUCCUUCAAAUUAAUCCACCCAAAGAUUUGAUUCUUAACUGCC